AGUACCACCCACGUGCUGCGAGAAGGUAUCAGGAAAUGCUUCCUAUGUUGGAGACUAGGAAAGCUGUUGCACUCGCAGCAAAAGAAAGAGAGAUAGCGAAUGAAGGAUCGCAUAGAGGGACGACGUGGCGGAGGUAAGCCUGAUUCUAAACAACCGCCAAGAGGAAUGAGGGGCAUUAUUAGGUGGAAUAGUUCUAAUUUGCCCGUUGGUCCUUGGUCAACCCGAUUGAAUGCAUAUAUUGGGGUUCUCGUGCGUAGAGCGACCAUUAUCAACCCUUAUUUUCAUUUUCGAGAAUUACCAUGGACCGCAUACGAGGCGAUAUGGACUGCGCUUAUGGACUGCUUCUGCCUUGAGGACUUUGAGGGGGCUUGGAAU